GUGAGCAUUGUUCGAGUUUCAUUUU
rnacentral:miRNA from 1 species